AUUGAACGCUGUCGGCAGGCCUACCACAUGCAAGUCGAACGAGUGGCGGACGGGUGAGUAAUGUCUGGGAAACUGCCUGAUGGAGGGGGAUAACUACUGGAAACGGUAGCUAAUACCGCAUACCAUCAGAUGUGCCCAGAUGUGAUUAGCUAGUAGGUGGGGUGACGGCUCACCUAGGCGACGAUCCCUAGCUGGGCUGAGAGGAUGACCAGCCACACGGGAACUGAGACAAGGUCCAGACUCCUACGUGAGGCAGCAGUGGGGAAGAUUGCACAAUGGGCGCAAGCCUGAUGCAGCCAUGCCGCGUGUAUGAAGAAGGCCUUCGGGUUGUAAAGUAAUUUCAGCGGGGAGGCGUUACCCGCAGAAGAAGCACCGGCUAACUCCGUGCCAGCAGCCGCGGUAAUUC
rnacentral:rRNA from 1 species